AAGGUCAUUAGUGGGGCACUAGUGGCGUCAAACUACUAUUACUAGAUGGGUAGUUCCAGCUAGGGUUUGCUAGGUGGUUUCUCAGUCAUUGCAUAUGUGGAUGGCUAUAAAAGGAUGUGUUAAAGGGUUUUGUUUUCUUGAGUCAGUUUAGGGUUCUUACAACAUAUACGAGGUCAUUAGGUCUUGGAUCUGUAAGAUUCUUUGGUGAUUUUAGAUGCCCAGUGUGGUUUUCUAUGUUUGUGUAGUGAAGAUGUUGCGUUUUCAGAGUAAAGUCACAGAAAUUGGUUUCAGAGCGUUGAAUGUAUUGGAUCUAAGGGUUUCUCGUAUAUGGUUUCCUCUAUAACUCUUUCUGCUGGGUUAGCUUAGCUCUAUUGUUGUAUUUUUCGACUCUUCCUUUUCUUCUUUGAUUCUUUCUAAUAUUUGUUUGUGCUGUUAUGGCCUUUCGAAGAUUAGAUGAGAUCUGUAAGAAUUUUGAUGUAACGCUGUGGAUUGACUUGUUUGGUAGUUUGUGUUUUUCUGGUGUUAGGGUUUGGUUUUUAUCAGUAUCUGUAUUAGGGUUAAGAAGUGGAGCUCCUUGAAGUCCAAUAGAGGAUCUUGCAGGGUAGAUUGAGCUGCUGAGCUAUGGAUCCCACAGCCCUAUCCCAUAAUAAAAAGAUCAGACUUCUUGGAUAGGCUUGCGGCUUGCAUAUCUCAGGAGCUUCAUUACCACAUAUGUUAGAUCCUUGUUUGGAUUGAAGGGAGCUCUACAUCUAAAUCUUUCACCUGUACUACUCGUCCUUGCUUUGCUCAUAUGUUGCUUGUGUUGUUUUGGAUUUUUAAUCUGAUAAAUUUAUGUACUUUUGUCAUUUUCUUGUAUUCUUUGCUGUUUCAGGAAUUGAUUGCUUUUAAAUCAAGAACUGGGUUUUACUAUUUUUGUGUACAUGGGACUGACUUGCUUGCACAAGCUAGCCCUGCAGGAACAGGAAGGAUCAAGGAUGAGCUCUCGUUUUUUCUGGGUUCUGGCCAACGAGGAAUUGGAGAUUUGAGUGGCUUAGAUUGCGCCAACCACAGGAUAGAUUUACUGUACCUUUUUCACAUUUAUUAUCUGUACGGUGCUCGUUGAACAAGAUAGGGACUCUGAAUUUGUAUAAAUAUUUUGCUGAAGUUUUACAAGAAAAUGUAACCUACCACUUUCUUUUUUCUAGUGAUUAAUUGUUUGAAUUUGCCUGUUAAUUUUGUUUUCUAAUUAUGUAAUUAUGAAAAAAUUAGGCUCUGUUUAAUUCAUUUUCUGAUUUCUGAUCGACUAAUCGUUGAUCCUGUUGAUAA
rnacentral:misc_RNA from 1 species